rnacentral:tRNA from 1 species
AAAAAAGUAGUUUAAUAAAAUAAUAGAUUGUCAUUCUAUAGAUGUACCUGUACCUUUUUUG